rnacentral:lncRNA from 1 species
CUUCAUUCCCCAACCCUAACCGUAUCCUCCCCCAAAUCUAAUGCAUCUACUUCUCAUUCUCUCUAUGAGUAUUUCCAGAUCUUUGAACCACCACCACCACAUCACCGACAUAGAAGGCUCCUUCAUCCUUGUUCAACAGCCCUUAAUCCCCGUUCACAACCCCUACAUUCUAGUUAAGAGCACCUGUGGAUGUUAGGUUAGAAGGCAUUUGAAAUCACCAUUAUCAGAAGUGAUGUCUUUUAACACAUUCAAUCGACCUCUAUUCUAUCCAUGGUUUUCAUCAUCGAAUUUGCUUGGAUGGUUGUUGGAGUAUUAGCAUCUGGCAAGAGAGAGGGAUUAAGUGGUGAGGCAGUUGGGCGUCAAGAAGAGUUACAAGACGGUCUAUUGUAAUUACACCAUGAUCAAUCGCCAAGUUGAAGAGGUUGAUGGGAGUAUGUUUUGGGGAUGGGAGUCUUCGCUAACAAGCUAAUCAAAUGGGAUGCAAGCAACUUGAUGCUUGUGGUUCAUUAGUCAACUGGAGCAACCACUUGCAGCUCAAGAAUCCGAUAUCCACAGAGCUAUGGCGGUUCAUAAUAGCACAUGAUGCCCAUCGCCGACACAUCAAAGCCCAUCUCCUAAUGUGGAUGACGGAAGUGGUAACGAUGAUGAGAGCGUACUAGUAACUAUGGCUAUAGUCCAAGUUGACUAUUUGGCUUGCAAUGAAAAUGGCGGAAAUAAGUUAAGUAACCGUAGGGGCAAACUAGCACGUGCAGCUGCUAAGGCUGCUCGCGUACAUUCUGAUGAGGACAACGCUUUGCCUGAAAAAGAAACUGGGUCAGGGCCAGAUCCAGAUUCACCUGAUGAUCUUUUGGAUGAAGAUUAUGAUCCGUCUCCAUCUACAUCCCAUCUAACCCACAGGAAAGAUCGCAGGAGAUCAGUUUCAAGAACCAAAGAUACAGUUGUGGUCCCUGAAAAGCGUUUUAAAUUCAAAGUUAACCAAAAUGAGACUGCUAGCUACCCAGAAACAAUAAAUGGGAUAGUACAGACCAUGGAAGUUGAAGUUGUUCCUACAAAAGUAACUUAGUUUGACUUGAUUCCCUUCACAUAUCCUUUAUCUGUGGCGACGGGCGUACAACAUUUAUCAUUUUCAGAAAAAGAUAAGUCGCAUUUUGUCACAAUUUAUGCUUUUGUCAUUCUUGUAGCCAGCUAUGAUGAAGCCAACCAUCUGCUGUAAACAGUGUGUGCAUUUGGAAAUCGUUACAACUCAGAUGAAAAUAACAAUACACAUUGCCAGAGUUUAUCACUCAAGGGAUUCAUUUUGAUGGCUACCUGUCAAACUUGGAGCCGAGGCAUUGAUGGUUCAUGAAACUCCUACUAUCAAAGAAGACCAAGAUUGUUGAUUUUGGCAUGGUUAGACACUACUAUGAAGGUGUGACUUAAUUCAACAGUCAAUACUCGUGUAGUCAAUAUCAAGUAAUUGUUAGUAACAUUGCUAAUAAGGCGCUCGCAUGAGGAUCAUUUUUACUCGCAUGAAGAUUUGAAAGUGGU